AGAGUUUGAUCAUGGCUCAGGAUGAACGCUAGCGGCAGGCCUAAUACAUGCAAGUCGAACGGUGGUAGCAAUACCAUAGUGGCGCACGGGUGCGUAACGCGUAACCAACCUACCCGAAUCUGGGGGAUAGCCCGCCGAAAGGCGGAUUAAUACCGCAUAAGACUUGGAGCCGGCAUCGGUUUUUAGUUAAAGAUUUAUUGGAUUCGGAUGGGGUUGCGUGCCAUUAGCUAGUUGGGGGGGUAACGGCCCACCAAGGCGACGAUGGCUAGGGGAGCUGAGAGGCUGGUCCCCCACACGGGCACUGAGAUACGGGCCCGACUCCUACGGGAGGCAGCAGUAGGGAAUAUUGGGCAAUGGGCGAGAGCCUGACCCAGCCAUGCCGCGUGCAGGAUGAAGGCUUUCUGAGUCGUAAACUGCUUUUGCCAGGGAAGAAAAAAGGGGAUGCGUCCUCUACUGACGGUACCUGGUGAAUAAGCACCGGCUAACUCCGUGCCAGCAGCCGCGGUAAUACGGAGGGUGCAAGCGUUGUCCGGAUUUAUUGGGUUUAAAGGGUGCGUAGGCGGUCCAUUAAGUCUGGGGUGAAAGCCCGUUGCUCAACAACGGAACUGCCCUGGAAACUGGUGGACUUGAGUACAGACGAGGGUGGCGGAAUGGAUGCUGUAGCGGUGAAAUGCAUAGAUAGCAUCCAGAACCCCGAUUGCGAAGGCAGCUGCCUAGACUGUAACUGACGCUGAGGCACGAAAGCGUGGGGAGCGAACAGGAUUAGAUACCCUAGUAGUCC
rnacentral:rRNA from 1 species